CCAGAAUACAAGAUGACUCAGGCUUGUUGGAAAAUAAAAAACCUGAUAUAGAAAAAGGGCCCCUAGAAAACCAGUGGCCAGAACAGACUAUCAUCACUGCAGAGCAUCUAGCUAAUUGUUUUGACUCACAACUUGUAAAAAUUAAAGCAGAAAUUACCACCUCCUCUACUCAUAUUAAAUGUGACCUUGUCAAGAUUGGCGAAAGGCUAAAAGCAAUGGAAGAGAAGACAGAUUACAUCUACUUCCAAAUGCAGAUCAGUACUGUAAGGUUGGAGAAACUUGAGGAAAAAAACAGAAAAUCUACUAAAAAAAAAAAUUGGAAACCUUGAGGAUAGGUCACGAAGAAAUAAUCUCAGAAUAAGAAGCAUCCCCGAAAACAUUACAGCAUCUCAGUUAGAAGACUAUUGUGAAGAUUCUUUUUUAAAUUCCUGGAAUUAUUCCCAAAUAAAGAAACCAAUUACAUUGAAAGAAGUCAC